rnacentral:lncRNA from 1 species
CUGGUUCACAUCAUAAUGGUUCUUUUGCCAACAGGAGCUGGUAAUCAGGAUGGCAGUGAGGCAGGCACUUGCUUGCAGAAGAACAGGCCUAGUUUUUUAAGAAGCCACAAAAGUGUCUUUGGAUGAUUAGGAUCUAAGGGGCCAACAGCUUUGCAAUAACAGCAUAAAUAUUGUGGGCUGGAUGGACAGGCACCAAAUGGGGACAUUCCAUCCUGCUGUGUGAUGAGAAAGCUGCCACUUUUGAGGCCUUCCAAAACAAAUCAACACUCCAUAUGCCAGAAGGAAAAGCCCAGGAAAGACCUAUUCCAACUGGAGAUGGUGAAUGUCAUUUCUUCAAGAAGCUGAGAUCCAGCUGGUACUGCCAGGUGGAGAGAAUACGAAGGGAGAAUGAAACAAAACUGCUCCGCUUAGGGAACUUGGAAAGGAAAUUGAAAAGGCAAGGCACAGGCUGGAAGAAAAUAUUUGAAAAAGAUUUAUGUGAACUUCUUUCUGGAUUAUACAAAAUAUUUUUAGAUAUUCUUACAACUCUAAAAUAAGAUAACUCCUUAAAAAUCUAAAUUCUACCAAAGGAGAGAUAAAGAUGACGAAUACAUUCAAAGAUGCUGAAAAUCACUUAUUUAUUAUUAGGAAGUUACAAGCUAAAGCAUAAUGAGAUACCACUACAACCUACUAAACUGACUAAAAUUAAUCAGACUAACCAGGUGUUGGCAAGAAACAGGGACACUGAGACUCUCACACUGCUGGAAGGAAUGUAAAAUGCUAAAACUUCUUUGGAAAUGAGUUCAGUAACUUUUUAAACAGUUGAAAAUAGACCUAUCAUGCAAACCAGCAAUCCCACUUCCAGGUAUUUAUACAAGGAAAAUGACAACAUAUGCCCACAUAAAGACUUGUGCACAAAUGACCGUAGCAGCUUUGUGAUAAUUGCUAAAAACUAGAAACUUGUCAAGUGUCCAACAGUUGACAUGCAGGCUGGACAUACAGUGGGCCUCGAUUGCUUAGAAGCCAAACUGAACUCACCAAGAAAAGAAGACAGGAGAAACUUCUCAAGAGGAAUAUCUCCAAAUUGCAGGAUCGAAUACCAUAAGAGGAAUUCUGGACUGAAGAGUUAUGAAGUCAUUUCAGACACUUCCAGACAAUUUGUGUUAAUUAAAUUCUCACUGGUUGAGUUCCAUUCUACACUGGAAGAGCAUUUUUCCUGGAAAGGCUCCUCAAAAUGGACACCAUCAAGAGUCACCUCCUCAGUGAAGCCUUCCAUGGUUUCAUACCACCCAUCCCUAUCGGAAUGAAUGUAUCCUUGUUCUCCGUUAUCCCAGUAUUUUGCCUGGGCUUCUGUCACACUACUUUCAAUGUCUAUACCUCAGUUAUCGAAUCGAAAAACAAGAGUCAUCAGUCUCUAAGGUCCUUGCAAGCUUCAAAACUUUAUAUUUUUGUCAAUUACAACUGAAUAAAGCUGAACAACUUAUUAUUUAUGGAUACUUGCUCAAGCACCAUAUAACUCUUUCAGAUAUUUUAAAAGAAUAUGUUUGCAAAAGACUCCAAAUCAAUGUAUUAAAUUGAAAUCCAGUAUCAAAACACCCAUUAAAGUGCUCUUUUGAAAUUGUACAUUUUAUAUCAAUAAAAUUUCAAAAUAUAAAAACCUCUAUUUUACU